UACGUAGGGGGCAAGCGUUGUCCGGAUUUAUUGGGCGUAAAGAGCGUGUAGGCGGCCAAACAGGUCCACUGUGAAAACUCGAGGCUCAACCUCGAGACGUCGGUGGAAACCGUCUGGCUAGAGUCCGGAAGAGGAGAGUGGAAUUCCCGGUGUAGCGGUGAAAUGCGCAGAUAUCGGGAAGAACACCCGUGGCGAAGGCGGCUCUCUGGGACGGUACUGAUGCUGAGACGCGAAAGCGUGGGGAGCGAACAGG
rnacentral:rRNA from 1 species